rnacentral:rRNA from 1 species
AGCAGCCGCGGUAAUUCCAGCUCCAAUAGCGUAUAUUAAAGUUGUUGCAGUUAAAAAGCUCGUAGUUGAAUUUCAGGCCUGGCUGGACGGUCCGCCCUUCGGGUGAGUACUGUCUGUGGUCGGGUCCUACCUUCUGGCGAAGCGUCAUGGCCUUAACCGGCCGUGGCGGGGAACCAGGACUUUUACUGUGAAAAAAUUAGAGUGUUCAAAGCAGGCAAUCGCUUGGAUACAUUAGCAUGGAAUAAUGGAAUAGGACAAUGGUCCUAUUUGUUGGUUUCUAGGACCGUUGUAAUGAUUAAUAGGGAUAGUUGGGGGCAUUAGUAUUCAAUUGUCAGAGGUGAAAUUCUUGGAUUUAUUGAAGACUAACUACUGCGAAAGCAUUUGCCAAGGAUGUUUUCAUUAAUCAAGAACGAAAGUUAGGGGAUCGAAGACGAUCAGAUACCGUCGUAGUCUUAACCAUAAACUAUGCCGACUAGGAAUCGGGCGAUGUUGACAAAAUGACGCGCUCGGCACCUCAU